UACGUAGGGUGCAAGCGUUAAUCGGAAUUACUGGGCGUAAAGCGUGCGCAGGCGGUUUUGUAAGCCAGGAUCGUGAAAUCCCCGGGCUCAACCUGGGAAUGGCAUUUGGGACUGCAAGGCUUGAGUGCGGCAGAGGAGACUGGAAUUCCUGGUGUAGCAGUGAAAUGCGUAGAUAUCAGGAGGAAUACCGAUGGCGAAGGCAGGUCGUCUGGGCUGACAC
rnacentral:rRNA from 1 species